rnacentral:rRNA from 1 species
CANCGCGGCUACCAUGCAGUCGAACGGAAAGGCCCUGCUUUUGUGGGGUGCUCGAGUGGCGAACGGGUGAGUAACACGUGAGUAACCUGCCCUUGACUUUGGGAUAACUUCAGGAAACUGGGGCUAAUACCGGAUAGGAGCUCCUGCUGCAUGGUGGGGGUUGGAAAGUUUCGGCGGUUGGGGAUGGACUCGCGGCUUAUCAGCUUGUUGGUGGGGUAGUGGCUUACCAAGGCUUUGGCGGGUAGCCGGCCUGAGAGGGUGACCGGCCACAUUGGGACUGAGAUACGGCCCAGACUCCUACGGGAGGCAGCAGUGGGGAAUAUUGCACAAUGGGCGGAAGCCUGAUGCAGCAACGCCGCGUGCGGGAUGACGGCCUUCGGGUUGUAAACCGCUUUCGCCUGUGACGAAGCGUGAGUGACGGUAAUGGGUAAAGAAGCACCGGCUAACUACGUGCCAGCAGCCGCGGUGAUACGUAGGGUGCGAGCGUUGUCCGGAUUUAUUGGGCGUAAAGGGCUCGUAGGUGGUUGAUCGCGUCGGAAGUGUAAUCUUGGGGCUUAACCCUGAGCGUGCUUUCGAUACGGGUUGACUUGAGGAAGGUAGGGGAGAAUGGAAUUCCUGGUGGAGCGGUGGAAUGCGCAGAUAUCAGGAGGAACACCAGUGGCGAAGGCGGUUCUCUGGGCCUUUCCUGACGCUGAGGAGCGAAAGCGUGGGGAGCGAACAGGCUUAGAUACCCUGGUAGUCCACGCUGUAAACGGUGGGUACUAGGUGUGGGGUCCAUUCCACGGGUUCCGUGCCGUANCUAACGCU